UAACAGUCAUUCAAGAAGUUUCAGUUGCUGGUCACCUGCCUUUCAGGAGGAGAGUGGGCAAUGACUGUUUAACUGCAACCUUUGGCUGAGGAGUGUGGCUUAUGAAGGUGAUAAGAAGACCCCAAGGAUGUGGCCUAUUUACAAUCAACCGUUCCAAGAGAACCCUUGUGAUCUGUUCCUGGAUUGCCUCAGUGUUCGCCUCAGCAAAAAGACAGAGAAAUGGAAGGCAUGAGCCUUGUAGGUAGCUGGUUGUCAUAGCUGGCUUCAGCUUGGGCCACCUGGGAAGAGGGGACGCCAGUUGAGGAACUGCCUCCAUCACAUCAGCUUAUGAGCAUGUCCAUGGUAUGUUUUCUUUAUUGCUAAUUAAUGUAGGCGGGUCCUGCCCACUGUGGGCAGUGCCAUUCUUAGGCACUGGUCUGUAUAAGAGAAGAAACCAAACAAGGCAGAAAUGAAUGUUUCUCUAUAACUAUGAGCACGUGCCUUGCAUUCCUGACUUGGUUCCCUCGAUGAUGUGAGCCAGAUCACCUUUUUCAAUUCCCGAGUUACUUUUGGCCAUGCUGUCUAUCACGGCCACAGAAGCCUACCUAUAACACCUUUUAAGACUUGUUUCUUCCUUUCUGUAUUAGCUGGGUGCCUUGGAAGACAAGUGGCCUGAACUUCCAGUUGCUUCUCAGAACUUUGUGGUGCUAGCGCCCACUGCUGUCCAUUCCUUGUUCUGCAGAAGACAAGUCGAGUCCCAGUGUUGGCCAGCAUUCUUUGUUUUCCCUGGGGAUUGUAGCACCGAUUCACUCAUUACAGUAGCACUGUAAACUCAUUGCAGUGCAGCUAGGCUCCUCUCCAGCCCCAUUGUCUGAAGAAUGGAAUGCUAGCCAGCAACAGCAUCAAGAAGAGAAAGGUAGCCCUCGCCUCAGUGACACUGGUAAUCUAAGAGCAGUCUAUGAAUCUAUGUAUCUCUUCUUUCAGUUGUUCCACCUAUAGGGUUGCAGAUCCCUUCAGCUCCUUGGGUGCUUUUAACCCAGACACUAUUGUAUAUGCCAGAAAGAUUUUGCUGAAGGAACCCUGUUAUAACUGUCUCAUAUGAGGUUAUGCCAAUGCCUGGCAAAUACAGAAGUGGAUGCUCUAUAAGAUGGAACACAGGGCCCCCAAUGGAGAAGCUACAGACACGCUCUUUCAAGAGAAGGAGGCAGGGACACUUAAGAGAACACUAUCGUCCUCUUUUAUCACAGAGACAGACACCGAGACAGACAGACAGACAUACACACACACACACACACACACACACACAGGAAAUGAUUUAAGGUAACAGUAUCCUGUUCUGACUGUUUUGUGUUUGGUUAGACACUUCUUAGCCCCUCUGUGUCUCUCUCAACUGUCAUAUCUGUCUUGGCAACACAUUUGACAUUUUCAUGGCCUUGACCACGGUCCAGAUGUAUUAAUCAAAAUACUUGGUAAGUUAUGUCUAAAGUAACUGCUAUGCUCUGCUAGGAGGGAAGGUUUCAAUGUUACUCUGACCCUGAUCUAAUAACUCUGGUGUAACUUGGUGGUUUUUGCCUUUAAAAAUGCUGAAUUCCUGUGCUUGGGCACUGAGAGAUAUUUUGGAGGCUCAAGCCUGCUCUUUGUCUGGCCAUCGAUAUAAAAGACUUAAAACUUUUAAUUGGCUUAAUUAGUGUGGUAGUCAAUAACUAUCUCGUGUGGAUCAUUGAGAGAAACGAGAGGGGAGUCAGGCACCUUUGUCUGUUAGCUUGACUCCGGAGAUGACUGACUAAGAAAGACUUGCUUUCGUGGAGGAAAGCUCUGGGGGCCUGGACUGCUCAGAAUGGGAAAGAGGAGAAACCCAGAAUCACUCCUGACACUGCUGCAAAUGAGCAUCUUCCUGAUCCCGUGGGGACCGAGCUGCAGUGGAGAGACCCCCUCAGAUGGCGGUUGCCAGUGUCUUCCUGAAACAAGAAUUGAAAUCCAAGUCUGUCCUUUGGCUUUUGCUCACUUUCCCCCACUGUGCCUCCUUUUUUCAAUGUAGUCAAGCAAGACUAGCACUUGAGAGGCUGAGGCAGGUGGAUGGCAAGCUUGAAGUGAGCCUAGGCUACCUCUCAAGACUCAAAGCAAGCAAGCAAAGCCAACAACAGGGGGGAAAAACAUAGCUAUAUUUAUCAUCAAAUCAAUGUCAAAAUAAAAACCUGAGAUUCUCCACCCAGUGAAUAAUCAUUGGCAAAUGUCUUUCCAGGGUAACGAUGCUCAAAGGUGGCUGUUGGCUGUUUAAUGCAUAUGUCACAGUCUGUGGCAGUCUGCUAACCUGUCAAUCUUGUAUUCUCAUUUGCCUUGGUAACAGGACUCAUGGCAAUGUGCCCAAGAGAAAUAAAAUCAUUCUCCGGGUUCCUUAACUGAUAGGAACUACUGACAGCAUUUAUAGUAGAAGAGGUUCCUGCAGCAUCUGCUGUCAUGUUUCCCUGGGAUUCCCUGUGCCAAGGAGGGCCAAAGAGAGUCCCCAUUGAGCAUCUGCUGUGGGAGCUGGAGGCUCCUCCUCCAUUGUCAUCCCUCACCAUCCUGGUGACCUGCACCUUCGCCCUGGCUUUUCAUGCCUGUGACAGGCUCUGACUGUAGCUUUCUCUGGGCCAGGCUGGAUUUCUGGUAGCCGUAACUGGGCCUUGCAGGUAGUGGAACAGAGGAGCAGAAUGAUCUGGAACCUUUGGAGCAAACACAUGUGCACAAGUGCCUGUGCACACAGGCGUGCACAAAGGAGUCAAAGGAAUAUAAUAAACUUUACAGCAAUCCGCUAUUCAGCACUGGCUAUUUGAAAAGGUACAAUGUCUCAACAGCCACAUUUUAAAUUCUUUUCUUUGUGAACUCCUUUGUAUAGUUGUGUAUUUUAGGAGGUGUGCAUGUGUCUGCCUGCAGGGGGUGGGGCAGGGACAGGAGUUGAUGUCUGCUUUUCAGAUAAAACAGAAAAGCAAGAGGGGAGACGGGAGGGAGAAAUGGGGUGUUUGGGGGGCUGUCCUGACAUUUUUUUUGUUUUAGAUGCACUGUAGAAUAGUGAUAGUUUUCACUUGAAUUCACUAGAAUUUGAAUAUUUCCGGGAAUUACCUAGGAGGUAAGCAUUUGGCACACCUGUAAGGCAUCAUGAAGAUUAGGCUAGCCUCCAGGCAUGGCUUCGAAGGAUUAGCUAGAUUGGGUUAAUUGAGUUAAGAGGCCCUGCCUUAAUGGUGGGUGGCACCAUAAUAUGGGCUCAAGUCGUGGGCUGAAUGAGAAGGAGAAAGGCGCAGAACACCAGGAUUUCCAGCUUUCUUCUUUCUGACUGCAGACAGAGUCACAGUCAGCAGCUGGGGUUGUAGGCUGUGCGCUAUAACAGCUGGCUCUACCUUCGGAAAAAGGAUUUUGAGCCCCCAUGAUCGCCAGUCUGCCCGGGAUUGCAAUUAGUAUCUCUCCUCUUGGUAUCUAGUAUCUAAUACAGUUCUGUGGUUGCCAUUUACAAUGGGCAGUAUAUCCUCCUCAUCACUAUCACUAUCACCACCAUUAUCAUCUGUCAUUGUCCUGAUGCCUUUGUAUGGAUUGUUUCACUUAGUUCUCAUAACAGCCAAGCAUGGCAAGUACUCAUUUAUAGAUAGGUAAGCUUAGUCACAGAUCAAAAUGCAUCAUGUUAUCAAGUUACAUACCUGGUGAAUGAGAACUGAUGGAAGUCUGACUCCUCUGCCUUCCAUGUUAUCUCCCAUUCGGACGGAAGGACAGUGAAGGAGCAAGAGACGGAGAAGGGAAGGAAGCAUGGAGGAAGAGUGGUCCUCUUCCAUGCGCUGAACAGGAUGAAAGCAAAAGCCACAGGGCAGCUGAGGACACUGCAGCCAGGAAGAAGUCCUGUAGGGGCACAGCUGGGAGAGAGACUCCAGGUGCUGCUGGAGAUGGCAGGUGGUCGGCAGGGGAGAUGUCUGAGUUAAGCUAUCACCUGCACCAGAGUCCAGCAGCAUCUGGUCUGAAGCGAGUUCAUGUUGUGAAAAUGAGGCCAGAGGUGCAAAAGAAAUGAAGUUAUUCAAUAUGUGGCCUUCCAAAUGGAUGGAUCUAGAGGAUAUCACCCUGAGUGAGUGACUUGUGUUAAAGACUGAAAUUGGAGCUACCAUGGCUGUACGAGAGGCCCAACAAGCAGCUGACUGAGACAGAUGCAGAUACUUACACCCAACCAAUGGGCUGAAGUCGGGAACACCUGUGUUUGAAUUAGGGAAAGGCUGGAAGAAGUUGAGGAGGAGGGUGACGUCAUAGGAAGACCAGCAGUCUCAACUAACCUGGACCCCCUAGGUGGGAGAUGGGGAGGUAGAGAGGUAGAAGGUGGGGGUCAGGGGUAGAGGGUAGGGGGUGGGGUGUGAGGACAUCCUCUUGGAGACAGGGGGAAGAGGAAUGGAAUGAGGAACUGUCAGAGGGCAGACCAGGAGGGGGAUAACAAAUGGUCUGUAAAAAUAAUUAAAGAUAUUUUAUUUUAUAAUUUAUUAUACAAUAUUUUAAAAAAUGAAAUG
rnacentral:lncRNA from 1 species